rnacentral:rRNA from 1 species
AGCCCGCUCAGUCUAGAGUUUGAUCCUGGCUCAGGACGAACGCUGGCGGCGUGCUUAACACAUGCAAGUCGAACGAUGAAGCCGCUUCGGUGGUUGGAUUAGUGGCGAACGGGUGAGUAACACGUGGGCAAUCUGCCCUGCACUCUGGGACAAGCCCUGGAAACGGGGUCUAAUACCGGAUACGACCAUCUGAGGCAUCUUGUGAUGGUGGAAAGCUCCGGCGGUGCAGGAUGAGCCCGCGGCCUAUCAGCUUGUUGGUGGGGUGAUGCCUACCAAGGCGACGACGGGUAGCCGGCCUGAGAGGGCGACCGGCCACACUGGGACUGAGACACGGCCCAG